GACGAACGCUGGCGGCGUGCUUAACACAUGCAAGUCGAACGGAAAGGCCCUGCUUUUGUGGGGUGCUCGAGUGGCGAACGGGUGAGUAACACGUGAGUAACCUGCCCUUGACUUUGGGAUAACUUCAGGAAACUGGGGCUAAUACCGGAUAGGAGCUCCUGCUGCAUGGUGGGGGUUGGAAAGUUUCGGCGGUUGGGGAUGGACUCGCGGCUUAUCAGCUUGUUGGUGGGGUAGUGGCUUACCAAGGCUUUGACGGGUAGCCGGCCUGGUCGGGUGACCGGCCACAUUGGGACUGAGAUACGGCCCAGACUCCUACGGGAGGCAGCAGUGGGGAAUAUUGCACAAUGGGCGGAAGCCUGAUGCAGCAACGCCGCGUGCGGGAUGACGGCCUUCGGGUUGUAAACCGCUUUCGCCUGUGACGAAGCGUGAGUGACGGUAAUGGGUAAAGAAGCACCGGCUAACUACGUG
rnacentral:rRNA from 1 species